rnacentral:lncRNA from 1 species
GACAUCAGCACCCAACUUUAUUAUUUAUUUAGAUCCAAUUCACGAUACUUGUCCCAUCAUUCACAACUCUCAGAAUUUAUGACACGUUCAAAUAACUAUUCAACUUCCAUGAUCUGAUUCUUCCCACCACAGAAUCAUAUUUCUAAGAAUUCACCAUAUUCUAUCAUGUCAUCCAUUGCACAAAAUCACAAGCUCAACAAAACAGGUUUUCAAUGCCCAAGAAGGGGCAGAACCAGCUACAAAAAUUCACUUUCUAGCUACAGAUAAACAUGACUGACAGCGAUUUAUUUUCCAGAAAUUCAUCAAUGUUUUCCAAUUACCUGCUUACAGGCUGUGGUGUGUCAAUCAGAAAAGGCGAAUCUCCAG